rnacentral:antisense_RNA from 1 species
UCAGAGUGGGGAGUGCAUGUUUUUCAAAAUCAAAAAGUAGGCAAAAACAGUCCACCACCCCAUCUUUCCUGCCCAGGCCCCUGGCUGGGGAGGCCAAGGAGUGGCUUAAGUUGUCCAGCUUCUGGGCCCUCCUCCCUCCCAUCAAGACCUGGAAGGAAGGGCUGAGCCAGGGGCAGGCCCCAGAGGCCCAGCCAGGCCAGCAGCAGCAGGUCUUUGAGUGUCUGGUUGAAUGGGACGUCGAGGAAGUCCCAGAGCAGCAGGUCACUGUAGCGACGGCUCUCCCAGGCCACUAGUAAGUCUAGGUCAGGCCCCGCCUCACCCACCGGAGACCCUAGCAGGAAGA